rnacentral:rRNA from 1 species
UACAGAGGGGGCAAGCGUUGUUCGGAAUUACUGGGCGUAAAGGGCGCGUAGGCGGCCUGUUAAGUCGAACGUGAAAUCCCCGGGCUCAACCCGGGAACUGCGUCCGAUACUGGCAGGCUUGAAUCCGGGAGAGGGAUGCGGAAUUCCAGGUGUAGCGGUGAAAUGCGUAGAUAUCAGGAGGAACACCUGUGGUGUAGACAGCUUACUGGACCACUUCUGACGCUGAGACACGAAAGCGUGGGUAGCAAACAGG